CGCCAGACGCGCCGCCUCGACGCACGCGGCACGCGGCGACGCAGGAGGGAGGACUGCCGUGCCACGCGGCGACGCUGGCUGCUGGCCCGCCGAUCCCCCCGCCGGCGACGAGCUGCAGGCUGCCGCGCUCCCGCUGCUGCCCGCGACGAGCCGCCGCGCUAGCGCACCACCGCGACCUCCAGCUCCAGGGAUCCAGGCUCCAGCUCCACCCCCGCGACAGUGAGAGUUCUGCAACAUCCGACUGGUCUUGGUAGUUGGCCGACACAUUGAAGUAAUGGCAAAGGCAUUCUACUAUAUAGUGGCUGCAGUCUUGCUAUGCUCCACCACCCAUUUCCUCACACAUGCAUCUUCUUCAUCAUACAAGAGCUACAUCGUGCUCCUCGAGCCACCUCCAGGAGCUGAUACCAUGGACGAUGGUGCCCGCAACAGUUGGUACGAGUCUUUCCUCCCUAGCAACCUAACCGACUCUGGUGAACCACGCAUGCUCAGCUCUUACAAAUUCAUAUUUCACGGCUUUUGUGCCUUGUUAACCGAGGCUGAGCUCGAAGUCAUGUCCAAAAAGCCUGGCUUUUGCCACUGGAUCCCAGAUGAAUUGAUUGAACAAGAUUGGGAUUUGGAAGGUAGUACUCCUAAUUGGACUGACCCAGGGUUGGAGUAGGAAUGUACAAAAUAUUGUAUGCUCCCGGGUGGUGAUUGACAAUAAUAAUAAUAAGUUGAUCUGGUUUCUAGCACAGAAUUGAACGGGCUAUAUAUCUAGCAUGAAUUACUUACCUACAAUGGCUUCAUGUCAACUUCGCAUAUGAAUUUGAAUC